rnacentral:rRNA from 1 species
UCCAGCAGCCACAUCACCCUGCAACUCACAGCUGGCAGCCCACUGGAGCUCAGCAGGUGUGAGCCUGGUCAGUACCUGGAUGGGAGACUCCUGGGAAAAACUAAGGUUGCUGCUGGAA